AUCUUCAGAACAUAAUCAUCAGCAACACAACACGACACAGCGAAGAAGCAAUGUUAUCAACAAGAUUAUUCAAGGAAAAAGUAAAGAAGAAAUCAAAUAAAAAUCAAAAUGAAAAACUAUCAGUUCUGGGCAAAACCCUUCAAACUGUGGGAAGAUCUUCAGGACAUUCUUUCCAGUAAAUGGAAGAGGAAGAGCAUGGCUCAGAAGAGGCGCAGAGCGGUCAGCACGGCCGCCAGCUCCGAGGGGCUCCCUACAGCAGGAAACCCACCCACCCACCCCACCUCAGGAAUAAAGGACUUAUGUAGACACACAGGUAUGGUUAGCCACCCAUAGAAGGAGAGCUGUUUCGUUCAUGAAAUCCGAAGAAGAGUUCACUUAUUUAGACCAUUUAUUUAGACGUCAAGCUAGAGGGUAUGUGGGUUUCUUUUCGUUGUUUUUUUCUAAGGGAAACAAGAAAAUUAUCAAGUCCGAGAAGACCACCAUUGAAAGGUUCCUCUUUUCUAACAGAAUAAGGUCUGAGGAAGGUUAGCCUCAGAGCUUCUGAGAAUUCUGUCCAUGAUGAACCAGAGUUUGUAGUGGCCUGCAGGCCAGCUGCCCGGCUCCCUCCUCCUGCAGCCGCAGAAACGUGCACAUGCACGUCUGCAAAACACACACUCAGUUUCCCUGCGCCGUAGUGUUUACAGGCCUGGGAAAGUGCAGAGUGGGUCUCUGUGGCAUGGGAGAGGAAAGUGCGCCCCAAGUGGGGUGUCCGCCCCACAGCACUUUCUGGGGGGCGACUGAACAUAUCUUCCGGCAAGUCUGCUCGUCCAAGCCCAUCCUGACCGUGGGCAGGCUCCAUGGCUGCAGACUCAUGAGGUGCCCAGGCUGGAAAGAGUUACUCAGGACAGGUGUGGUUGUCCCGUUUCUCCACAAAGGCAGGUCCGGGGAAGUUAGUGAAUGCUGUACUAGAACGAGCCUGGAUAGAGAACUCCCGUCCUGAGACACAGUCUUGGCAAUGGAUUGGUAUUCGUU
rnacentral:lncRNA from 1 species